rnacentral:rRNA from 1 species
GAUGAACGCUGGCGGCGUGCCUAAUACAUGCAAGUCGAGCGAACAGACGAGGAGCUUGCUCCUCUGACGUUAGCGGCGGACGGGUGAGUAACACGUGGAUAACCUACCUAUAAGACUGGGAUAACUUCGGGAAACCGGAGCUAAUACCGGAUAAUAUAUUGAACCGCAUGGUUCAAUAGUGAAAGACGGUUUUGCUGUCACUUAUAGAUGGAUCCGCGCCGCAUUAGCUAGUUGGUAAGGUAACGGCUUACCAAGGCAACGAUGCGUAGCCGACCUGAGAGGGUGGUCGGCCACCCUGGAACUGAGACACGGUCCAGACUCCUACGGGAGGCAGCAGUGGGGAAUCUUCCGCAAUGGGCGAAAGCCUGACGGAGCAACGCCGCGUGAGUGAUGAAGGUCUUCGGAUCGUAAAACUCUGUUAUUAGGGAAGAACAAAUGUGUAAGUAACUAUGCACGUCUUGACGGUACCUAAUCAGAAAGCCACGGCUAACUACGUG